UUCACCCCACUGUUCUGUGCAUUUCCUUUUCAAAAAACCAUAUCCUUUUUGUUAAUUUUAUUAAAAAGGUAUUAAUUGUCUACAUUUAUAGAAUAGUAAUAGCCUCAGUUUGCAUAGCAUCAAGUCUUUCUCUGUGUAGUUUAAAUAUCCUACUAUUAAAUAUGAAUAGGUAAAAUGGCUAACAGAAGAUCUACCCUGAUGAAAUCCAGCAUUGAUGAGUAACAAAAGUGAAGGCACUAAGCAUGGUGGAAAGCGCAGUGUGAGAAUAAGAGAACUGGAGAUAGACCACUUAUUACCUUUAUGUUCCUCCACAACUGUGCCUUUGUUAGUCUAUAGCUUCAGAGAACAGAGCUUCUGAGGCAGCGGGAGGCAGUCGUGUGAAUGCUGUGUGUUGAAAUUCGUCCCAGCUGGCUCUAAUGAAGAUACCUGUCCCUGCAAAUGUUCUCCACUACCAAGUCUAUGUGAAUGGGGUCUUCUUACUUCUGGUCAUAAUACAUCCCGUCACAGUCCACCUUGUGUGUCAAUUCUGACUUCUCUUCAUUCAACUUUUUGAAGCUAAUAUAAGAAUGCAUAAGCGUGGACUGGAAAAGAUGAAAUAGAAACUUCAGGUAGAGUAAAAGACAGUGAAAGAGAGACAGAGAGAAUGAUCCUCCCUCCGGUGGUUCACCCCCAAAAUGGCCACCAUAGCUGGUGCUGUGCCGAUCCAAACCCAGGAACCAGGUGAUCCCUCUUGGUCUCCCAUUUGGGUGCAGGGGCCCAAGCACUGGGGCAAUGCUCCACUGCCCUCCCGGGCUACAGCAGAGAGCUGGACUGGAAGAGGAAUAACCAGGACCAGAACCUGGCACCCAUACAGGAUGCUGGCGCCGAAGGUGGAGGAUUAACCAAGUGA